GCAUCACAGGUCUGUGGCUGAAAGUCGAUGGCAGUCGCAGCAAACGAUCCACGUAACGCAGUCAAAAGGGCUGUUGAGCAUGGUGCGGUUUAGAAGUAAGUCCUGCCGGGAAAACCGAGAGAGUGAGUUGUGAGAGGCAAGCGCCGGGUAGCUAAAGCUCCAGCAGGCGAGUGUGGGGUCAAAAGCCAGGUCAGCUGUAGAUGC
rnacentral:ncRNA from 12 species